AGCUGCGUGAGCAUUUCGCUCCUCAAACCGAGAACAGCCCGCAGACUACGCAAAGCUAGCAUCUCCUGUAUCUCAUUUUCCUUCACAAAACAGACCGUGCUUCUCACCUGGUGGCAGGUGUUUGGAUAAGGCCAUCUUGCUGUAGGUGAUGACUGAAGCUAUAUCAAGAGGAACUAUAGGCAUGGCCAAGUCCAUUCUGGCAAACCUGGAACAUCAACACAGGAGCGGGACGAGGUUGGACAGGAACUCGGAAAACUUCUGAUGCUCAGGAGGCUCAGUCAGGUUCGCUCUGUGCUGGAGGUCUCAGCUUUCUUUUGUCCCACCACGCAGACUGAAAGAAUUGUUUCCUUAGUUAUGCAACUUAUGAAAUCCAGCCUGUCUGAAUAUGUGCUUUGAAGACUGUCAUUGUUUCACUGCAGUUCCAAGGAGGAAAUGCUCAUCCAUGGUGUUGAAUACUUAUUUCUAUCACAAUAUGUCUCGUAUCAAAUAAAAAGCCCUUUAUGGACAGUUUAACAAGGUGGAAAACUUGAUUUUCAUUGAAGGGGGUUAAUGUAAAGGAAAAACAAAACAAAAACAAUUGGCUGGAAUUAAUCAGCAGCAGUGG